UACAGAGGGUGCGAGCGUUAAUCGGAAUUACUGGGCGUAAAGCGCACGUAGUCGGCUUUGCAAGUCGGGUGUGAAAUCCCCGGGCUCAACCUGGGAACUGCAUCCGAGACUGCAUUGCUAGAGUAUGGGAGAGGGAAGCGGAAUUUCUGGUGUAGCAGUGAAAUGCGUAGAUAUCAGAAGGAACAUCAGUGGCGAAGGCGGCUUCCUGGAUCAAUACUGACGAUCAGGUGCGAAAGCGUGGGGAGCAAACAGG
rnacentral:rRNA from 1 species